rnacentral:rRNA from 1 species
GACGAACGCUGGCGGCGUGCCUAAUACAUGCAAGCCGAGCGAGUGGAUUAAGAGCUUGCUCUUAUGAAGUUAGCGGCGGACGGGUGAGUAACACGUGGGUAACCUGCCCAUAAGACUGGGAUAACUCCGGGAAACCGGGGCUAAUACCGGAUAACAUUUUGAACCGCAUGGUUCGAAAUUGAAAGGCGGCUUCGGCUGUCACUUAUGGAUGGACCCGCGUCGCAUUAGCUAGUUGGUGAGGUAACGGCUCACCAAGGUAACGAUGCGUAGCCGACCUGAGAGGGUGAUCGGCCACACUGGGACUGAGACACGGCCCAGACUCCUACGGGAGGCAGCAGUAAGGAAUCUUCCGCAAUGGACGAAAGUCUGAUGGAGCAACGCCGCGUGAGUGAUGAAGGCUUUCGGGUCGUAAAACUCUGUUGUUAGGGAAGAACAAGUGCUAGUUGAAUAAGCUGGCACCUUGACGGUACCUAACCAGAAAGCCACGGCUAACUACGUGCCAGCCGCCGCAGUAA